rnacentral:rRNA from 1 species
AAAGGUUGAUUCCGGUGGCGGAUGGGCAUGCGUCGCAUUAGUUAGUUGGCGGUGUAACGGACCACCAAGACGACGAUGCGUAGGGGUUCUGAGAGGAAGGUCCCCCACACUGGUACUGAGACACGGACCAGACUCCUACGGGAGGCAGCAGUGAGGAAUAUUGGUCAAUGGGCGGGAGCCCGAACCAGCCAAGUCGCGUGAGGGAUGACGGCCCUAUGGGUUGUAAACCUCUUUUGCCGGGGAGCAAAGUGCCGCACGUGUGCGGUUUGGAGAGUACCCGGAGAAAAAGCAUCGGCUAACUCCGUGCCAGCAGCCGCGGUAAUACGGAGGAUGCGAGCGUUAUCCGGAUUUAUUGGGUUUAAAGGGUGCGUAGGCGGACGCUUAAGUCAGCGGUAAAAUUGCGGGGCUCAACCUCGUCGAGCCGUUGAAACUGGGUGCCUUGAGUGGGCGAGAAGUACGCGGAAUGCGUGGUGUAGCGGUGAAAUGCAUAGAUAUCACGCAGAACUCCGAUUGCGAAGGCAGCGUACCGGCGCCCAACUGACGCUGAAGCACGAAGGCGUGGGUAUCGAACAGGAUUAGAUACCCUGGUAGUCCACGCAGUAAACGAUGAAUGCUAGUUGUCCGGGGCGAUUGAGUUCUGG